GAUGAACGCUGGCGGCGUGCCUAAUACAUGCAAGUCGAGCGAACGGACGAGAAGCUUGCUUCUCUGAUGUUAGCGGCGGACGGGUGAGUAACACGUGGAUAACCUACCUAUAAGACUGGGAUAACUUCGGGAAACCGGAGCUAAUACCGGAUAAUAUUUUGAACCGCAUGGUUCAAAAGUGAAAGACGGUCUUGCUGUCACUUAUAGAUGGAUCCGCGCUGCAUUAGCUAGUUGGUAAGGUAACGGCUUACCAAGGCAACGAUGCAUAGCCGACCUGAGAGGGUGAUCGGCCACACUGGAACUGAGACACGGUCCAGACUCCUACGGGAGGCAGCAGUAGGGAAUCUUCCGCAACGGGCGAAAGCCUGACGGAGCAACGCCGCGUGAGUGAUGAAGGUCUUCGGAUCGUAAAACUCUGUUAUUAGGGAAGAACAUAUGUGUAAGUAACUGUGCACAUCUUGACGGUACCUAAUCAGAAAGCCACGGCUAACUACGU
rnacentral:rRNA from 1 species